rnacentral:rRNA from 1 species
AUUGAACGCUGGCGGCAGGCCUAACACAUGCAAGUCGGGCGGAUGAAGGGAGCUUGCUCCUGGAUUCAGCGGCGGACGGGUGAGUAAUGCCUAGGAAUCUGCCUGGUAGUGGGGGAUAACGUCCGGAAACGGGCGCUAAUACCGCAUACGUCCUGAGGGAGAAAGUGGGGGAUCUUCGGACCUCACGCUAUCAGAUGAGCCUAGGUCGGAUUAGCUAGUUGGUGGGGUAAAGGCCUACCAAGGCGACGAUCCGUAACUGGUCUGAGAGGAUGAUCAGUCACACUGGAACUGAGACACGGUCCCGACUCCUAAGGGAGGCAGCAGUGGGGAAUAUUGGACAAUGGGCGAAAGCCUGAUCCAGGCAUGCCGCGUGGUGGAAGAAGGUCUUCGGAUUGGAAAGCACUUUAAGUUGGGAGGAAGGGCAGUAAGUUAAUACCUUGCUGUUUUGACGUUACCAACAGAAUAAGCACCGGCUAACUUCGUG